rnacentral:rRNA from 1 species
GGGCGAAUAGUUUGGCGACAUAGACCCGAAACCGAGCGACCUAUCCAUGGACAGGAUGAAGCGAAAGUAAAAUUUCGUGGAGGUCCGAACCGCCUGACGUUGAAAAGUCAUCGGAUGAUCUGUGGAUAGCGGUGAAAUUCCAAUCGAGCUCGGAGAUAGCUGGUUCUCGUCGAAAUAGCUUUAGGGCUAGCCUCAGAAUAAAGAGUAGCGGGGGUAGAGCACUGAAUGGUCUAGGGGUCAAUAUUGGCUACCAAAACCUAUCAAACUCCGAAUACCGUGUACUUGAUUUCUGGGAGUCAGACUAUGUGUGAUAAGAUUCAUAGUCGAGAGGGAAAGAGCCCAGACCAACCGCUAAGGUCCCAAAGUAUAUGUUAAGUGGAAAAGGAUGUAGAGUUGCAUAGACAAUCAGGAUGUUGGCUUAGAAGCAGCCAUUCAUUUAAAGAGUGCGUAAUAGCUCACUGAUCCAGGAACUUUGCGCCUAAGAUUUCCGGGGCUAAAACAUAUCACCGAAGCGAUGGACUCGAAAGAGUGGUAGACGAGCAUUCUAUGUGGGCAGAAGCUAUACCGUGAGGAGUGGUGGACUGCAUAGAAGCGAGAAUGUUGGCAUGAGUAACGAGAGGCAGGUGAGAAACCUGCCCGCCGAAAACCCAAGGAUUCCUGAGGAAGGCUUGUCCGCUCAGGGUUAGUCGGGACCUAAGCCGAGGCCGAAAGGCGUAGGCGAUGGAUAACAGGUGGAGAUUCCUGUACCACCGAAGGUUGUUUGAGAGAUGUGGGGACACAGAAGGAUAGGCAGAGCGCACCGUUGGUUGAGUGCGUCCAAGCCCGUAGAGAGUCUGGGGAGGCAAAUCCCCCCGGAUGUUAAUCUCAAGAGGUGAUGGGGAGCGAAAUUUUAAGUAGCGAAGCUGUUGACUCCAAGCUGUCGAGAAAAGCCACUAUCGAGACCUAAGGUGCCCGUACCGUAAACCGACACAGGUGGGUGAGGAGAGAAUCCUAAGGCGAACGGGAGAACUAUUGUUAAGGAAUUCGGCAAAAUGACUCCGUAACUUCGGGAGAAGGAGUGCCGAAG